AUAGACAACAGCUUGAUUCUUGUAUAAUUAAAGAGCGGUUACUCACUGAAGCUAAGCAGGGCUGAGCCUGGUCUGUACCUGGAUGGGAGACCACAUGGGAAAACUAGGCUGCUGACUGUU
rnacentral:rRNA from 1 species